AAAAAGAUAAGCUAAAUAAGCUAAUAGGUUCAUACCCUGUUUAUGAGAGCUCCCCCUUUCUCUUUUUA
rnacentral:tRNA from 1 species